rnacentral:rRNA from 1 species
UGGGGAAUAUUGCACAAUGGGCGCAAGCCUGAUGCAGCCAUGCCGCGUGUGUGAAGAAGGCCUUCGGGUUGUAAAGCACUUUCAGCGAGGAGGAAGGUGGUGAGCCUAAUACGCUCAUCAAUUGACGUUACUCGCAGAAGGAGCACCGGCUAACUCCGUGCCAGCAGCCGCGGUAAUACGGAGGGUGCAAGCGUUAAUCGGAAUUACUGGGCGUAAAGCGCACGCAGGCGGUUUGUUAAGUCAGAUGUGAAAUCCCCGGGCUCAACCUGGGAACUGCAUUUGAAACUGGCAAGCUAGAGUCUCGUAGAGGGGGGUAGAAUUCCAGGUGUAGCGGUGAAAUGCGUAGAGAUCUGGAGGAAUACCGGUGGCGAAGGCGGCCCCCUGGACGAAGACUGACGCUCAGGUGCGAAAGCGUGGGGCAGCAAACAGGAUUAGAUACCCUGGUAGUCCACGCUGUAAACGAUGUCGAUUUUGGAGGUUGUGCCCCUUGAGGCGUGGCUUCCGGAGCUAACGCGUUAAAUCGACCGCC